UACAGAGGUCUCAAGCGUUGUUCGGAUUCAUUGGGCGUAAAGGGUGCGUAGGCGGCGCGGUAAGUCGGGGUGUGAAAUCUCGGAGCUUAACUCCGAAACUGCAUUCGAUACUGCCGUGCUUGAGGACUGGAGAGGAGACUGGAAUUUACGGUGUAGCGGUGAAAUGCGUAGAUAUCGUAGGGAAGACCAGUGGCGAAGGCGAAUCUCUGGACAGUUACUGACACUGAGGCACGAAGGCCAGGGGGAGCAAAACGGGG
rnacentral:rRNA from 1 species